GAUGAACGCUGGCGGCGUGCCUAAUACAUGCAAGUCGAGCGAACAGAUAAGGAGCUUGCUCCUUUGACGUUAGCGGCGGACGGGUGAGUAACACGUGGAUAACCUACCUAUAAGACUGGGAUAACUUCGGGAAACCGGAGCUAAUACCGGAUAACAUAUUGAACCGCAUGGUUCAAUAGUGAAAGGCGGCUUUGCUGUCACUUAUAGAUGGAUCCGCGCCGUAUUAGCUAGUUGGUAAGGUAACGGCUUACCAAGGCAACGAUACGUAGCCGACCUGAGAGGGCGAUCGGCCACACUGGAACUGAGACACGGUCCAGACUCCUACGGGAGGCAGCAGUAGGGAAUCUUCCGCAAUGGGCGAAAGCCUGACGGAGCAACGCCGCGUGAGUGAUGAAGGUCUUCGGAUCGUAAAACUCUGUUAUCAGGGAAGAACAAAUGUGUAAGUAACUGUGCACAUCUUGACGGUACCUGAUCAGAAAGCCACGGCUAACUACGUG
rnacentral:rRNA from 1 species